AUCUGGGAUAGUUCAGACAGUAGAGCACGAGACUCUUAAUCUCAGGGUCAUGGGUUUCAGCCCCAUGCUGGGCA